UCCUUCGGGAGCAAAGAGACAGGUGGUGCAUGGCUGUCGUCAGCUCGUGUCGUGAGAUGUUGGGUUAAGUCCCGCAACGAGCGCAACCCUUAUUGUUAGUUGCCAUCAUUUAGUUGGGCACUCUAGCGAGACUGCCGGUGACAAACCGGAGGAAGGUGGGGAUGACGUCAAGUCAGCAUGCCCCUUAUGACCUGGGCUACACACGUGCUACAAUGGGAAGUACAGAGA
rnacentral:rRNA from 1 species